AUGAGUUGUAAAGAGUAUCUC
rnacentral:siRNA from 1 species